CACACAAUUCCUCUUUUAGUGAUUAAGAUGAUGGUUACAUCAUUAAAAAAGGAUGAUGUCAUAAUUGUUUGUUGAAUUGUUGGAAAGCUAACAAACUUUUAUUCCAUAAAACACGUGGUAUCUAGGGAAGGAGGCAGGUCAAGCGUUCAUUCCACACUAAUUUUAGGAGAAGCAGAUGUUUGUGUGAAAACCUAUGAAUGCUUGAUUCCACGUCUUGACUUAUUACAUUUAGUCUCUGCAGAGAGAAACUUAACAUCUUAUUCCACCCUUUAACACCUAGCAAGAACAUUCUAUCACUCUUAAGGAACCACAGGUUAAUGUAUCAUUGCCAACCGUCUCCCUCUGUUAUAAAGACUGAUCAUAAAAAGUGAGCUUUUGAUAAUCUCUCUAUAGUCAGUGGGCGUCAGUGGGUGAGGGACAGUGCCCCUUCCAGUCUCUCUAUUGUCCAUGAGUAAAGAUCAGUGCCCCCUCCCGUUUUCCUAUAGUCAGUAGGUGAGGGUCACUAACGCCUCCUGUCUCUCUACUGUCACUGAGUGAGGGUUAGAGCCCCCUCCAUUCUCUCUACUGUCUAUGAGUGAAGGUCAGUGCCCCCUCCAGUCUCUAUUGUCAGUGAGUGAGGGUCGGUAACCCCUACAGUCUCUCUAUUGUCAGUGAGUGAGGGUCAUUGCCCCCUCCAGUCUCUCUAUUGUCAGUGAGUGAGGGUCAGUGCCCCCUAUCAGUAUCUCUAAUGUCAGUGAGUGAGGGUCAGUACCCCCCAGUAUCUCUAUUGUCAGUGAGUGAGGGUCAGUGCCCCCUCCUGUCUCCCUUCUGUCAGUGAUGUUCACUCGCAUCCGCUACAGCAGAAGAGGUUUCUGCUCUGCUCCAGUCCUCCCACCCCACCACCUGCUCCUUAGAUCCAAUUCCCUCGCAUCUCAUGUCUUCAUACUCUGUCUUCUUCUCUUUCUCUCUCACUAAAAUUCUCAAUCUCUCUCUCUCUCCUAGGGCAUAUUUUCAUCGCCCUUCAAACAUGCAACUGUAACCCCAAUUCUAAAGAAGCCCAACAGUGACCCUAACUCCUCGUCCAACUACCGUCCUAUCUCACUACUGCCUUUUGCAUCCAAGAUCCUUGAAAGAGUUGUGUAUGCACUGACCAAAGCAUCCAAUGUUCUCCCGGCUGCAAAAUCUUGUGGUCCUUACUCUAUCCUAAUAUUCCUUGACCUUUCUGUGGCUUUUGAUACUGUUGAUCAUCAACAGCUUCUUCUCAUCCUCCACAAUAUCGGUCUACAAGAUAUUGCUCUCUCGUGGUGCUCCUCCUACCUCUUCAAACGCUCUUUUAGUGUUUCUUUCUCUGGCUCUGCUUCUUCUCCCCAACUCCUCUCUGUUGGUGUCCCCCAAGGUUCAGUUCUUGUUCCCCUUAUGUUCUCUAUCUAUAUAGACUCCCUUGGUAAACUCAUUAGCUCCUUUGGCUUCCAAUAUCAUUACUAUGCGGAUGAUACGCAAAUCUAUCUGUCCUCUCCUGAUCUCUCCUCGACCUUCUUGACUAGUGUCUCUAAAUGUCUCUCUGCUAUUUUGUAACCGGAUGGCAGCCCACUUCCUUGAACUCAACUUGACCAAAACUGAAAUUCAGAUUUUUCCUCCCUCACGUGUUGCUACUCCUGUGUCUGUCUCCCUCCAAUUCAACUGUGCUACAAUCAGCUCCACCACGCAGGCGACCUCCAUCUCAAAAAUAUGUUGUGCAUCCGACCCUACUUAAUGCCAGAUGCGACUUAGGUGCUGGUCCAUUCCACUGUCCUUUCUCGCCUUGAUUACUGUAAUCUGCUUCUCAGUGGUCUUACGUGCUCCCAACUUGUGCCGUUACAGUCCAUAAUAAAUUCGGCAGCAAGGCUCAUCUUCCUGUCUGCCCGCACCUCCCCCGCUUCACCCUUCUGUCAGUCCCUACAUUGGCUUCCUGCAAGAUAUAGGGCUCAAUUUAAAAUUCUGGUUCUUGUUUUCAAAUCUCUACAUCUCUACACAAAUAUGUCCCGUCUAGACCCUUACGUCUUACCCUUACAUCUAACUUCUGUCCAUACUCCUACCUCUGAUGCUCACCUUCCAGACUUCUCAAAGGCUGCACCAUUCCUGUGGAACUCACUUCCCUCCUCCGCUAGAUGCUCACCCAGUCUCCACGUCUUCAAAAAAUCAUUGAAAACCCACUUCAUAUAAGUGUAUCAAUUAAACUGUUAAUAGCUCCCGACUGAUUCCUCUCUUGCAACUGUAAUUACUCUAAUACUAUCCUUACCUUCUGUGUCACUUUACCCCACUGCCUCUAGCAUGUAAACCCUCAACCAGGGGCGGACUGAGAACCCUCAGGGCCCCCGAGCAAAAUAAAUCAAGGGCCCCCUUACAGGCCCCACCCAUACUCUGCAGCAAGCGCCACCCUUGUCCCGCCUCCAUGCACCGCCUCCAGCCACACCCUACACAAUCUUUAGACACACGG